rnacentral:rRNA from 1 species
AACCAGCACCUCAAGUGGUCAGGAUGAUUAUUGGGCCUAAAGCAUCCGUAGCCUGUUCUGUAAGUUUUCGGUUAAAUCUAUGCGCUCAACGUAUAGGCUGCCGAAAAUACUGCAGAACUAGGGAGUGGGAGAGGUAGACGGUACUCGGUAGGAAGGGGUAAAAUCCUUUGAUCUAUUGAUGACCACCUGUGGCGAAGGCGGUCUACCAGAACACGUUCGACGGUGAGGGAUGAAAGCUGGGGGAGCAAACCGGAUUAGAUACCCGGGUAGUCCCAGCUGUAAACGAUGCAAACUCGAUGAUGCGUUGGCUUAUUGCUAGCGCAGUGUCGCAGGGAAGCCGUUAAGUUUGCCGCC